ACCUGGGUGGCUCAGUCAGUUGAGCAUCUGACUUUGGCUCGGGUCAUGAUCCCCUGGCUCAUGGGUUCGAACCCCACUUCAGGCU
rnacentral:tRNA from 1 species